rnacentral:rRNA from 1 species
AUGGCCUACUUCGAUGAGAAAGCGAAGGAAGAUCCAGAUUUCUUCUACAGGAUAAGGUUGGACGAUGAGGACCAUGUCAGGAACAUGUAUUGGGUGGAUGGUGUUGCAAGAAGAGCCUACAAACAUUUCCGAGAUUGCAUUUCAUUCGGCGCGACGUAUCUCACUAAUAUGUACAAGAUGCUGUGGGCUCCAUUCAUAGGAAUAAAUAACCACAAUCAAUCGUUGCAGUUCGGGUGCGGGCUCGUUUGAAACGAAGACACGGAUGGGUAUGUUUGGCUAUUCAACACCUUCUUGGAGUGCAUGGAUGGACUUGCUCCGAUGAACAUAAUAACAGACCAGGAUUUUAGUAUGCAUGCAGGCAUAGAGGAGGUCUUUUCGUUGGCAGUGCACAGGCACUGUAUGUGGCACAUUAUAAAGAAGGCUGAGGAGACGCUAGGACCGUUCUUUGCUGACCGUCCGGAGCUGCACAAGGCAUUCGAGCUGUGCGUGGACCACAACUUGACGGUGGAGGAGUUUGAAAGGAUUUGGAUGGCCAUGAUUAAAACAUAUCAAGUCCAAGACAAGGAGACUCUUGCUAGCCUGUGGGAGAAGCGAAUGUAUUGGGUGCCGGCCUACUUCAUGUAG